UUGAACGCUGGCGGAAUGCUUUACACAUGCAAGUCGAACGGCAGCACGGACUUCGGUCUGGUGGCGAGUGGCGAACGGGUGAGUAACAUAUCGGAACGUAUCCAAUAAUGGGGGAUAACUAAUCGAAAGGUUGGCUAAUACCGCAUACGCCCUACGGGGGAAAGCUAGGGAUCUUCGGACCUGGCGUUAAUGGAGCGGCCGAUAUCUGAUUAGCUAGUUGGUGGGGUAAAGGCCCACCAAGGCGACGAUCAGUAGCUGGUCUGAGAGGACGACCAGCCACACUGGAACUGAGACACGGUCCAGACUCCUACGGGAGGCAGCAGUGGGGAAUUUUGGACAAUGGGCGCAAGCCUGAUCCAGCCAUUCCGCGUGAGUGAAGAAGGCCUUCGGGUUGUAAAGCUCUUUCGCAAGGGAAGAAAACUUAUCCUCUAACAUAGGAUGAGGUUGACGGUACCUUGAUAAGAAGCACCGGCUAACUACGUGCCAGCAGCCGCGGUAAUACGUAGGGUGCGAGCGUUAAUCGGAAUUACUGGGCGUAAAGCGUGCGCAGGCUGUUUUGUAAGUCAGAUGUGAAAUCCCUGAGCUCAACUUAGGAACUGCGUUUGAAACUACAAGACUAGAAUAUGUCAGAGGGGGGUAGAAUUCCACGUGUAGCAGUGAAAUGCGUAGAGAUGUGGAGGAAUACCAAUGGCGAAGGCAGCCCCCUGGGAUAAUAUUGACGCUCAUGCACGAAAGCGUGGGGAGCAAACAGGAUUAGAUACCCUGGUAGUCCACGCCCUAAACGAUGUCUACUAGUUGUUGGUGGAGUAAAAUCCAUGAGUAACGCAGCUAACGCGUGAAGUAGACCGCCUGGGGAGUACGGUCGCAAGAUUA
rnacentral:rRNA from 1 species